GAUGAACGCUGGCGGCGUGCUUAACACAUGCAAGUCGAACGGAAAGGCCCUGCUUUUGUGGGGUGCUCGAGUGGCGAACGGGUGAGUAACACGUGAGUAACCUGCCCUUGACUUUGGGAUAACUUCAGGAAACUGGGGCUAAUACCGGAUAGGAGCUCCUGCUGCAUGGUGGGGGUUGGAAAGUUUCGGCGGUUGGGGAUGGACUCGCGGCUUAUCAGCUUGUUGGUGGGGUAGUGGCUUACCAAGGCUUUGACGGGUAGCCGGCCUGAGAGGGUGACCGGCCACAUUGGGACUGAGAUACGGCCCAGACUCCUACGUGAGGCAGCAGUGGGGAAUAUUGCACAAUGGGCGGAAGCCUGAUGCAGCAACGCCGCGUGCGGGAUGACGGCCUUCGGGUUGUAAACCGCUUUCGCCUGUGACGAAGCGUGAGUGACGGUAAUGGGUAAAGAAGCACCGGCUAACUACGUG
rnacentral:rRNA from 1 species